rnacentral:rRNA from 1 species
AUUGAACGCUGGCGGAAUGCUUUACACAUGCAAGUCGAACGGCAGCACGGACUUCGGUCUGGUGGCGAGUGGCGAACGGGUGAGUAAUACAUCGGAACGUGCCCAGUCGUGGGGGAUAACGUAGCGGAAGCUACGCUAAUACCGCAUACGAUCUAAGGAUGAAAGCGGGGGAUCGCAAGACCUCGCGCGAUUGGAGCGGCCGAUGGCAGAUUAGGUAGUUGGUAGGGUAAAGGCCUACCAAGCCGACGAUCUGUAGCUGGUCUGAGAGGAUGAUCCGCCACACUGGGACUGAGACACGGCCCAGACUCCUACGGGAGGCAGCAGUGGGGAAUUUUGGACAAUGGGCGCAAGCCUGAUCCAGCCAUUCCGCGUGCAGGAUGAAGGCCUUCGGGUUGUAAACUGCUUUUGUACAGAACGAAAAGGCUCUGGUUAAUACCCGGGGCUCAUGACGGUACUGUAAGAAUAAGCACCGGCUAACUACGUGCCAGCCGCCGCAGUAA